CCUACGGGAGGCAGCAGUGGGGAAUAUUGCACAAUGGGGGAAACCCUGAUGCAGCGAAGCCGCGUGAGUGAAGAAGUAUUUCGGUAUGUAAAGCUCUAUCAGCAGGGAAGCAAAUGACGGUACCUGAUUAAGAAGCCCCGGCUAACUACGUGCCAGCAGCCGCGGUAAUACGUAGGGGGCAAGCGUUAUCCGGAUUUACUGGGUGUAAAGCGAGCGUAGGCGGCAGCGCAAGUCUGAAGUGAAAUGCCGGGGCUUAACCCCGGAACUGCUUUGGAAACUGUGCAGCUAGAGUGCAGGAGAGGUAAGCGGAAUGCGUGGUGUAGCGGUGAAAUGCGUAGAUAUUACGAGGAACACCAGUGGCGAAGGCAGCUUACUGGAGCGUAACUGACGUUGAGGCACGAAAGCGUGGGGAGCGAACAGGAUUAGAUACCCGUGUAGUC
rnacentral:rRNA from 1 species